rnacentral:rRNA from 1 species
UCGGGAAAGGAACGGCCCGCGUUGGAUUAGCUAGUUGGUGGGGUAACGGCCUACCAAGGCGACGAUCCAUAGCUGGUCUGAGAGGAUGAUCAGCCACAUUGGGACUGAGACACGGCCCAA